GAUGAACGCUAGCGAUAGGCUUAACACAUGCAAGUCGAGGGGCAGCACAAGGUAGCUUGCUAUCUGGGUGGCGACCGGCGCACGGGUGCGUAACGCGUAUGCAACUUGCCCUAUACAGGAGGAUAACCCGUCGAAAGACGGACUAAUACUGCGUAUGCUCACAACUUGGCAUCAAGUGGUGAGGAAAGAAAUUCGGUAUAGGAUAGGCAUGCGUCCCAUUAGCUUGUUGGUGAGGUAACGGCUCACCAAGGCAACGAUGGGUAGGGGAACUGAGAGGUUUAUCCCACACACUGGUACUGAGACACGGACCAGACUCCUACGGGAGGCAGCAGUGAGGAAUAUUGGUCAAUGGGCGCGAGCCUGAACUAGCCAAGUCGCGUGAAGGAUGACUGUCUUAUGGAUUGUAAACUUCUUUUAUACGGGAAUAACAAGAGUCACGUGUGACUCCCUGCAUGUACCGUAUGAAUAAGCAUCGGCUAACUCCGUG
rnacentral:rRNA from 1 species